UACGAAGGGUGCAAGCGUUAAUCGGAAUUACUGGGCGUAAAGCGCGCGUAGGUGGUUCAUUAAGUUAGGAGUGAAAGCCCCGGGCUCAACCUGGGAAUUGCUUCUAAAACUGGCGAGCUAGAGUAUGGUAGAGGGUGGUGGAAUUUCCUGUGUAGCGGUGAAAUGCGUAGAUAUAGGAAGGAACAUCAGUGGCGAAGGCGACCACCUGGACUGAUACUGACACUGAGGUGCGAAAGCGUGGGGAGCAAACAGGAUUAGAUACCCGGGUAGUCCCU
rnacentral:rRNA from 1 species